AUGUAGAAUAUGAAUGUAUCAUGGGAUGAACGGAAUGAAGUGACCGAAGUCACAAAAUUGAGUAUUUGGAAACAAGUGACUGAAUAAGUAAUGUUUGAAGUCGAAAGGUGAAAGUGUAUUGGAAUCCAUAAGAGAAAUGAGAUUUCUACCAUAGAGGGAAACAACUUUAACCGCUACAGGGUGUUAGCUAAAAAUAAGGAAUUAAAUGUUUGGGUUAAGGGCCAAACAACUCUAGGUAGAAAUGCGGACUAUUCAU
rnacentral:lncRNA from 1 species